rnacentral:lncRNA from 1 species
ACAUUUUUAUUUUUAUUCUUCUGAUUCUAGGAAAUUGUUCUGGUUACCUACUAGCUCAGGAAAGCCAGGAGAUUUGUGGCCUUCAUUCUCCUUGGAUUUACAUUUUAUUUACAAGAGCUGAAACCAAACUUGUGGAACUCCUGCAGUCAGAUGUCUUCAACUCACACUGUGAGGGCACACCGUGUCCGAGGAGCACUCUCCCAAAAUACUACAUUCUUGUCCAAAACUUCAUCUGUACGGGGAACAGCACAGAGCUUGUUCUUUGUGCAACUCCUUACUGUAAAAAUCACAAACAACUGCAUCAGAGUUUGGCAUCUGGACUUUAACACAGUACCCAACAUCAGUUCUGUGCAGACAAACACAGAAAAGGAGGCUCAGGGGUGACCUUAUUGCUCUCUACAGGUACCUUAAAGGAGGCUGUAGCGAGGUGGGGGUUGGCUGGUUCUCCCACAUGCCUGGUGACAGGAUGAGGGGGAAUGGGCUAAAAUUGCUCCACGGGAGGUUUAGGUUGUUAGGAUGUUAGGAAGAACUUCUUUACCGAAAGGGUUGUUAGACAUUGGAACAGGCUGCCCAGGGAAGUGGUGGAGUCACCAUCCCUGGAAGUCUUUAACAGACGUUUAGAUGUAGAGCUUAGGGAUAUGGUUUAGUGGGGACUGUUAGUGUUAGGUCAGAGGUUGGACUCGAUGAUCUUGAGGUCUCUUCCAACCUCGAAAUUAUGCGAUUCUGUGAAACCCCACAGGGGAGCGGUGGCAUCACGACCUGGGACAACUCAAGCGAAGAAUCCCAGGGAAGGCAGAAAGGCUGCCACAUCUCAGCUUAGCCAGCCCACCCUGAGCUCAGAAAACAAACCCUCUGCAGACAGAGGCAGAGUGAGCUAUUCCGAUUUCCUUUCCAGGUUGUGCAGCGGCUUCCCCUCCCCGCCAGAUAACCCUUCAUGUUUUCGUGCCCGUUACACCCCCGCCUUGCCCUGCCCUCACCUCACGCCUCAGGGCUACCCGGACCCGCCGCUCGGCUUCGCGCGCCACCCUCCCUCCACCAAUCACCGAGCUCCGUCCGGGCGGCCGCGCGGGAUCCCACCAACCAGAUGGCGGCUUCUUGACACCUCCCCGAAGCACCACCGCGGCUCCCCAGCGCCGUGGCGUCCCGCUUUGCCAGCGACCCUAAUGGCGGCCCCGGCGGCGCGGGGGGGAGGCCCGGCGGAGACCGCUGGUGAUGUGAGAGACAUUCUCCCCUGA